AUUGCAAGUGGUUGAGUUUCAAGCAGAUGGACAGGUAGAGUAUUUAGGACGAUGUCAUUAAGACUAGAUGCAGUUGGAGUUCUGCAAUUCAAUUCAGUUGGAAAUUAGAUUUGUUUAUUUGGUUAUCAGCUACUCUUCUUAUCGAGGUUUAGCUGAUAAUGUUGUUUAAUUUGUAAAUAAGAUUUUAUAGUUUUAGUUUCUGAUUUCAAUGCUGUAGCCUGUAUGCGAUCCUGUUUUCAGGGGGUGAAAUUGAUUUUGAAUUAAAGACCUUCUUUUAAAAAAAUAAUAUCCAGGUUUAGAAAUACUUGUUUUUACUUUCUUCCAAAAAUACAGGUUUUAAAUUGUUUUUCUUUUAAUGGCUCAAAACUACAGGUUUUAAAUUAUUUUUAUUUACACGUGGCACCAGAUCUAGACCCCCGGAUUUGAGGGAUGUCACAGUUGGUAUCAGAGCUACAGGUUAUAAGUUAUUGAAAUCAGAAUGUAGGUUGUAACUUGUCUAAUAAGAUAGACACGUUAAGUGAAACCUCACAUAUAGGUAAGUUCAGAUUAGUGGUGUAACCUCAUAUAGAGGUAUCGUAAGACUAUUUGGGGAUAGUCCUUUUGAGCAUAAUAAAAUGAAGCUAAACGAUUAUGUUUAAGUGAUUAUGGUUAUAGACACAACAAUUCCUAAUUCUAGUUCUUCCAGUCCCUAGUGGCCUAGUUUAUUGACCAAUUCAGAUUUAUAUCAUUGUAAGAGGGUCAAAGUUAGACCUAUCAACAGAACCUUCAAGCUAGAACCAGUAGAGAUUCUCACACAGUCUAAUGUAUCCUUUAUAGUAUCUUCCAAGUGUUGAGUAUUAUUUGAAGAGUCACCUUUUGAUUCUUGUCAGAGAUAUCUAGAAUUGGUGAAAGAAUAGAGGUGUUAACAAGUCCGAGUUUACAGCUUUGUAUAUAGUUAAGUAGUGAGCGUUAGAGCUACGUAGAGUUUGUGUUAGAUUAUUCGAUCUAGUACUUAUGUGUGAGUUAAGAUGUCAACGCUCUAUGGUGAUGAUUGUAUAAAGUUGGAUAAGACUUUUGACCGACAACGAUAUCAAUGAUGGGAUCUUCAGAGGCUAUUACUAGUCAACGAUAAUAUAUGCAAGUGGUCACUAAAACGUCAAGAAAAAUCACUAGAAUCAGAACGAGUCAUCAAAAGAAUCGAUCAAAAAGACAUCUGUGAGAAUCCUGGCAAUACCUUCCUCAUUGUUGAUAUAUUGAUUUCUUUCCCCAUCAAUGAUUUGUUCUGACAUCACUUUAAAAAAAAAAAAUAUUUGAUAAAGAGUAUAUUUUUACCUUUCACUCGAGUUCUCGAAUGAUACUUGUGCUUACUGUCACACCUAUAGAAUCUAUUCAAUCUUGGUAAUUUCGAACCCUUUCAUAUUCUUUACUCUAACUGAGAUGAACAACCCUACCUAUAGGGGACACAAGGACUACCUGUCUGUGUGAUAGGAGUUGGAUGGGACGCCAUCACUUGUGUGUGUUGUACAUUACAAGAAGGUUAACUACCUUUAGUAGUGUCUUAAAUUAGACACGCAACACCGAGUUCUAUAGACCAUAUUGAUCUCUCAGUUAUUCAUUUAUUUCAAUCACGUAACACUUGCUCCAAUAUGUGAAAUCUGUCAUAUCUUUUACCUUCAAGAUUCUUCUAAUCUCUAAUAGUUGGAGGUAUGCCAACCGAGUUGCCAAUAUGAAUUAAGACUUUGUAGUAAGAAGCACCAGGGAUGAAAGCGAAUGACAAUGCUGGUUAUAUCAGAAAGGAAUAUUAUGGAUUAUAGAGAUCGUACACUCUAGUUUUCUUUUUGAUGAUUCCGAGGACGGAAUCUUUUUAAGGGGGGUAGAUUGUGACGACCCGGAUUUUCAGAAAUUAUUUUAUUAUUUUUAUUCAUGAUUAUUCGAGACAAAUGAGGAAUAAAUUUCAAUAUUUUAUUCUAGUUUGAUAAUUUUCAAAAAUAUUUGUUUAAAUUAUUUUCCUAGUCAUUGUGAUUAUGAGAAAAUAUCUGUUGAUUGUACAAUUAUAUGUUACGAGAUUUAAUUGAAUUAGUUGUCUACUAUUAUGUCUGUGUGUGCAUUUAUUUUUACUUUUAAUAUUACUGUAUUGUUUUAUUGAAAUUUAUUAUCCUCUUAAAUGGAUAUUUAUUUUUGUAAAAAUACAAAGAUAAUUUCAAAAAUUAUUUUAAUUGCUCGAUAGUGAUCAUAAAUAUGUUUAGAAGUUUUUAAAAUAUUAAAAAUCCAAUUUCUACAAGGACAUGAUUUUUAAUUAGUUUCUAAACGCAGCUAACUUCUUAAUUUUGUAUAAAUUUUGAAAAUGCUCUAUAAAUCUUGAAACUUUUAUUUUAUGAGUUUUAUAAUAUUCGGUAAUUUAUAAAAUUAGUUUGUUAAUUUUUCGAGAAAGUUUUAAUGCGAGUUAUCCCGUAAAUCAACUAAAUAGCGGGUGUUUGGAUGAUUAUUCAGCUUAAAAUAAAACGUGGCAGCCUUUGGCCAAACCACGUGCCCUGCUUUUCACCACCGCCAUCCCUUUUCUUCAUUUUAUAUACAUCAGCCUCUCAAUCUCUCUCUCUCUCUCUCUGUGAAAUCCUCCAUCUCUCCCUCUCCGCUCCUCUUUCUUUUCUCACCCAUCUUCCUCUCUUUCUUGGCAUCACCGUCCCUUCCCUGCAGCCGCCGAAUUAUGCCGUUAUGCCGCUGCCACCUCUUUCCAGCGACCACCAUAGCCCUGCACCAAUUAUAAAUCAGUGGGUGUAAAGCUUAAUUUCUCUUUGUCAAAUCAGUUCUAUAUAAACGUAUAUAUACAUGUGGUGUUGUGUUUAUAUGGAUUAAAUUGAUUUAUAUAAUCGAUUUAUGUGUGCUUGUAUGUAUAUAAACUGAUUAUAUGCUGGUUUUUGAAAUUUGAAGGUUGAUUGAAUUUUUGAGAUUGAGAUUGGUGUUAGUAAUCGUAUGAUUGAAUUGUGUGCUUAAUUGAUAUUUGAAUUGGUUGUUGUAAGUUGAUUAUAAAUAGUGCGCCAAUUAGUAGUGUAAUCGGAUGACUUGGGUACUUGAAUUAUGGGAAUAUAUAACUGAGUAUUCAAGCUUUAAGGUCUGAGAUUUUUGUAAAUGUUUUCAAAGUGGUGUUUUAAGAGUUUAAGUAUUGGGCUAAAAAAAAAUUUUGAUUUACACAUAUUCGGUUGAAUUCUAGAUUGCUGUUGAUCUGUUUUGAAUUACAACUCUGGGAUCAUAGAGUUGAAUUAUAUGCUUAAUAUUUGUGUGGUUAUGUGCUCCUUAGAGUCUAGUUUAUGUGCGCGAAAGAACCGAAUCGAUUCGAUUAGCGAGCUAGGAGAUAUGACCGUUUUAGUAUAGUAUGGUGCUGAAAAUUCUGGGCAGGUUUGUCCUGUUCCAGGCUCUGUUUUACAGCUUUAAACUUGGAUUUUCUUUCUGAAAAUUUUACUGUAGGUUGGAAUAAUAUUUAGGAGUGUCUCAUAAAAAUUUCGUAUUAAAAAGAUAAUUUUUCAAUUUAUUAAAAAUCAUAGACCGAGGGCUGUUUGAACUAUUUGUUCUAUUUUUCUUUCUUUGCUAGUGCAUAGUAUGAGGUUAUACUUGACUAAUUGCAUAUGAUUGAUUAUUACAUUGAUUGGCUCGGUUAACCUUGUAUAUCUAAUUAAAAGUGUUUUGCGUAUAACAAGUUAGCAAUCCUGCUAAAAGAUUUUAUUAUAUGUUUACUACAAGUCAAGACAGAUUUUCUUAUGUGUUUACUGCAAGUCAAGGGAUCUUUUUAUAUUAAUAAUUCAUGUGUUAGCAAUAGUAUUGGUUGGUUGUUGGCAUUGCAAACAGGUGGAUAAGCUUAUAAACAGAGGAGAUGCUGCCGAAUUUUCGUUAGAAAUUAUAUGGAUUUAAUGCCUAUAAAAAGGGUUGUUUGUACAACUAUGUGCUAUGUGUUUAUGUGACUGUGGUAUGUAUAUGCGAAGGGUAGAUAUAUAUAUAGGUCUUAAUGCAAUUCAGGGUUAGUCAAUAUGUCUAAUCCGACGACUGAAAUACUAUUUUAUCAUCGUAUAGAAUUGAAGACAUUGACCGAGGCAUUAAUCGAGAAGUGAUUGAAAGGGGUAUUCAGAAAUAGCCAAGCAGAAUGUUACAAGUUGAAGUAGGACGGAGAUUUGUUAUAGAUAAAAGUGUGUCAGAAGCUGGCAGAAAGGAAUGAUUAUGCGGUAUAUAGUGUUACUAGGAAUCUGAGCUAAACUUUGGAGUUAAGGCAAGUACUUCUACCUUCUCUCGCAAUUUAGAAGCAAGUAUUUCUACCCUACUCCUCUAGUACCUAUAGAUACUAAAACCUUCUUUAUAUCAUGAUUCAAAUUAUUUGCAAUUACUUUCUUGUGAAGCAUAUCUAGUACUUUUAAACUUUUUGGUUGAACGGAUAACACUUUUGGUAUCAACUCUACACUAUGAUAUGCAUAAAGAAAUUGUUUUAACAAAAUGUUAUUCUGGCUCUUGAAUUACAUGAUGGAACUGCAGAUUGUUUUAAAAAUUAAACUAUUGGGUUGUUUUUGCGUAAGAGGCUCGGGCACCGGCCCAGCGUGAAAGGUGGCUCCUUAAGCCCGGAUUACCGGAAUUCGUAAUAUUUGUCAACCUUGCUGAAUAAGCUUGGUUUAUGGACUAUAGCAUGACUGAUCAUCUGUUAUAGCCAGGUGUCCAAUUAUUUUUAAAGCCCAAUAAAAUUGUGAAUAGUUUAAAAAGAAGUUACCCUGCCUUCAAGAGAUAUUUGCUUAUACAUUCAUUUCUGCAGUUUUAAAUAUUUUCACUUCUUUAUUAUGGCAUUGCUGUACAACAAAUAUCAAUUUCAUUUUGUUAUUCUUGCUGAGCAUUAUUGCUCAUUCUUGCUAUUCCUUCUAACCCUUUUCAGCUAGGAAUAAAGAUGAUUCACUUAAGACUAGGCAAGGAUUGCAAGUGGUUGAGUUUCAAGCAGAUGGACAGGUAGAGUAUUUAGGACGAUGUCAUUAAGACUAGAUGCAGUUGGAGUUCUGCAAUUCAAUUCAGUUGGAAAUUAGAUUUGUUUAUUUGGUUAUCAGCUACUCUUCUUAUCGAGGUUUAGCUGAUAAUGUUGUUUAAUUUGUAAAUAAGAUUUUAUAGUUUUAGUUUCUGAUUUCAAUGCUGUAGCCUGUAUGCGAUCCUGUUUUCAGGGGGUGAAAUUGAUUUUGAAUUAAAGACCUUCUUUUAAAAAAAAAAAAUAUCCAGGUUUAGAAAUACUUGUUUUUACUUUCUUCCAAAAAUACAGGUUUUAAAUUGUUUUUCUUUUAAUGGCUCAAAACUACAGGUUUUAAAUUAUUUUUAUUUACACGUGGCACCAGAUCUAGACCCCCGGAUUUGAGGGAUGUCACAGUUGGUAUCAGAGCUACAGGUUAUAAGUUAUUGAAAUCAGAAUGUAGGUUGUAACUUGUCUAAUAAGAUAGACACGUUAAGUGAAACCUCACAUAUAGGUAAGUUCAGAUUAGUGGUGUAACCUCAUAUAGAGGUAUCGUAAGACUAUUUGGGGAUAGUCCUUUUGAGCAUAAUAAAAUGAAGCUAAACGAUUAUGUUUAAGUGAUUAUGGUUAUAGACACAACAAUUCCUAAUUCUAGUUCUUCCAGUCCCUAGUGGCCUAGUUUAUUGACCAAUUCAGAUUUAUAUCAUUGUAAGAGGGUCAAAGUUAGACCUAUCAACAGAACCUUCAAGCUAGAACCAGUAGAGAUUCUCACACAGUCUAAUGUAUCCUUUAUAGUAUCUUCCAAGUGUUGAGUAUUAUUUGAAGAGUCACCUUUUGAUUCUUGUCAGAGAUAUCUAGAAUUGGUGAAAGAAUAGAGGUGUUAACAAGUCCGAGUUUACAGCUUUGUAUAUAGUUAAGUAGUGAGCGUUAGAGCUACGUAGAGUUCGUGUUAGAUUAUUCGAUCUAGUACUUAUGUGUGAGUUAAGACGUCAACGCUCUAUGGUGAUGAUUGUAUAAAGUUGGAUAAGACUUUUGACCGACAACGAUAUCAAUGAUGGGAUCUUCAGAGGCUAUUACUAGUCAACGAUAAUAUAUGCAAGUGGUCACUAAAACGUCAAGAAGAAUCACUAGAAUCAGAACGAGUCAUCAAAAGAAUCGAUCAAGAAGACAUCUGUGAGAAUCCUGGCAAUACCUUCCUCAUUGUUGAUAUAUUGAUUUCUUUCCCCAUCAAUGAUUUGUUCUGACAUCACUUAAAAAAAAAAAUAUUUGAUAAAGAGUAUAUUUUUACCUUUCACUCGAGUUCUCGAAUGAUACUUGUGCUUACUGUCAGACCUAUAGAAUCUAUUCAAUCUUGGUAAUUUCGAACCCUUUCAUAUUCUCUACUCUAACUGAGAUGAACAACCCUACCUAUAGGGGACACAAGGACUACCUGUCUGUGUGAUAGGAGUUGGAUGGGACGCCAUCACUUGUGUGUGUUGUACAUUACAAGAAGGUUAACUACCUUUAGUAGUGUCUUAAAUUAGACACGCAACACCGAGUUCUAUAGACCAUAUUGAUCUCUCAGUUAUUCAUUUAUUUCAAUCACGUAACACUUGCUCCAAUAUGUGAAAUCUGUCAUAUCUUUUACCUUCAAGAUUCUUCUAAUCUCUAAUAGUUGGAGGUAUGCCAACCGAGUUGCCAAUAUGAAUUAAGACUUUGUAGUAAGAAGCACCAGGGAUGAAAGCGAAUGACAAUGCUGGUUAUAUCAGAAAGGAAUAUUAUGGAUUAUAGAGAUCGUACGCUCUAGUUUUCUUUUUGAUGAUUCCGAGGACGGAAUCUUUUUAAGGGGGGUAGAUUGUGACGACCCGGAUUUUCAGAAAUUAUUUUAUUAUUUUUAUUCAUGAUUAUUCGAGACAAAUGAGGAAUAAAUUUCAAUAUUUUAUUCUAGUUUGAUAAUUUUCAAAAAUAUUUGUUUAAAUUAUUUUCCUAGUCAUUGUGAUUAUGAGAAAAUAUCUGUUGAUUGUACAAUUAUAUGUUACGAGAUUUAAUUGAAUUAGUUGUCUACUAUUAUGUCUGUGUGUGCAUUUAUUUUUACUUUUAAUAUUACUGUAUUGUUUUAUUGAAAUUUAUUAUCCUCUUAAAUGGAUAUUUAUUUUUGUAAAAAUACAAAGAUAAUUUCAAAAAUUAUUUUAAUUGCUCGAUAGUGAUCAUAAAUAUGUUUAGAAGUUUUUAAAAUAUUAAAAAUCCAAUUUCUACAAGGACAUGAUUUUUAAUUAGUUUCUAAACGCAGCUAACUUCUUAAUUUUGUAUAAAUUUUGAAAAUGCUCUAUAAAUCUUGAAACUUUUAUUUUAUGAGUUUUAUAAUAUUCGGUAAUUUAUAAAAUUAGUUUGUUAAUUUUUCGAGAAAGUUUUAAUGCGAGUUAUCCCGUAAAUCAACUAAAUAGCGGGUGUUUGGAUGAUUAUUCAGCUUAAAAUAAAACGUGGCAGCCUUUGGCCAAACCACGUGCCCUGCUUUUCACCACCGCCAUCCCUUUUCUUCAUUUUAUAUACAUCAGCCUCUCAAUCUCUCUCUCUCUCUCUCUGUGAAAUCCUCCAUCUCUCCCUCUCCGCUCCUCUUUCUUUUCUCACCCAUCUUCCUCUCUUUCUUGGCAUCACCGUCCCUUCCCUGCAGCCGCCGAAUUAUGCCGCUGCCACCUCUUUCCGGCGACCACCAUAGCCCUGCACCAAUUAUAAAUCAGUGGGUAUAAAGCUUAAUUUCUCUUUGUCAAAUCAGUUCUAUAUAAACGUAUAUAUACAUGUGGUGUUGUGUUUAUAUGGUUUAAUUUGAUUUAUAUAAUCGAUUUAUGUGUGCUUGUAUGUAUAUAAACUGAUUAUAUGCUGGUUAUUGAAAUUUGAAGGUUGAUUGAAUUUUUGAGAUUGAGAUUGGUGUUAGUAAUCGUAUGAUUGAAUUGUGUGCUUAAUUGAUAUUUGAAUUGGUUGUUGGAGGUUCAUUAUAAAUGGUGCGCCAACUAGUAGUGUAAUCGGAUGACUUGGGUACUUGAUUUAUGGGAAUAUAUAACUGAGUAUUAAAGCUUUAAGGUCUGAGAUUUUGUGUAAAUGUUUUCAGAAUGGUGUUUUAAGAGUUUAAGUAUUGAGCUAAAAAAAAUUUAGAUUUACACAUAAUCGGUUGAAUUGUAAGUUGCUGCUGAUCUGUUUUGCAGUAAAAUUCUGGGCUUCUAGAGUCGAAUUAUAUGCUUAAUAUUUUUGUGGUUAUGUGCUCCUCAGAGUCUAGUUUAUGUGCGCAAAAGAAUCGAAUCAAUUCGAUUAGCGAGCUAGGAGAUAUGACCGUUUUAGUAUAGUAUGGUGCUGAAAAUUCUGGGCAGGUUUGUCCUGUUCCAGGCUCUGUUUUACAGCUUUAAACUUGGAUUUUCUUUCUGAAAAUUUUACUGUAGGUUGGAAUAAUAUUUAGGAGUGUCUCAUAAAAAUUUCGUAUUUAAAAGAUAAAUUUUCAAUUUAUUAAAAAUCAUAGACCGAGGGCUGUUUGAACUAUUUGUUCUAUUUUUCUUUCUUUGCUAGUGCAUAGUAUGAGGUUAUACUUGACUAAUUGCAUAUGAUUGAUUAUUACAUUGAUUGGCUCGGUUAACCUUGUAUAUCUAAUUAAAAGUGUUUUGCGUAUAACAAGUUAGCAAUCCUGCUAAAAGAUUUUAUUAUAUGUUUACUACAAGUCAAGACAGAUUUUCUUAUGUGUUUACUGCAAGUCAAGGGAUCUUUUUAUAUUAAUAAUUCAUGUGUUAGCAAUAGUAUUGGUUGGUUGUUGGCAUUGCAAACAGGUGGAUAAGCUUAUAAACAGAGGAGAUGCUGCCGAAUUUUCGUUAGAAAUUAUAUGGAUUUAAUGCCUAUAAAAAGGGUUGUUUGUACAACUAUGUGCUAUGUGUUUAUGUGACUGUGGUAUGUAUAUGCGAAGGGUAGAUAUAUAUAUAGGUCUUAAUGCAAUUCAGGGUUAGUCAAUAUGUCUAAUCCGACGACUGAAAUACUAUUUUAUCAUCGUAUAGAAUUGAAGACAUUGACCGAGGCAUUAAUCGAGAAGUGAUUGAAAGGGGUAUUCAGAAAUAGCCAAGCAGAAUGUUACAAGUUGAAGUAGGACGGAGAUUUGUUAUAGAUAAAAGUGUGUCAGAAGCUGGCAGAAAGGAAUGAUUAUGCGGUAUAUAGUGUUACUAGGAAUCUGAGCUAAACUUUGGAGUUAAGGCAAGUACUUCUACCUUCUCUCGCAAUUUAGAAGCAAGUAUUUCUACCCUACUCCUCUAGUACCUAUAGAUACUAAAACCUUCUUUAUAUCAUGAUUCAAAUUAUUUGCAAUUACUUUCUUGUGAAGCAUAUCUAGU
rnacentral:lncRNA from 1 species